rnacentral:rRNA from 1 species
UACGUAUGGGGCAAGCGUUAUCCGGAUUUACUGGGUGUAAAGGGAGCGUAGGCGGCAGGGCGAGCCUGAUGUGAAAGCCCGGGGCUCAACCCCGGGACUGCAUUGGGAACUGCCCUGCUGGAGUGCCGGAGGGGCAGGCGGAAUUCCUAGUGUAGCGGUGAAAUGCGUAGAUAUUAGGAGGAACACCAGUGGCGAAGGCGGCCUGCUGGACGGUGACUGACGCUGAGGCUCGAAAGCGUGGGGAGCAAACAGG